rnacentral:rRNA from 1 species
AGUGAACGCUGGCGGCGUGCCUAAUACAUGCAAGUCGAACGGAGUGGCGCCCGGGUGAGUAAGGUAAAGCUAAUUUGCCCUACACUAGUGGACAACAGUUGGAAACGACUGCUAAUACUCUUAAGUGUAGGAUGAGGCUAUAUUGUAGCAGCUAGUUGGUGAGGUAAUGGCUCACCAAGGCUAGGACGCAUAACUGGACUGAGAGGAUGAGCAGACACCCUAGAACUGAGACGCGGUAGAGACUACUACGAGAGGCAGCAGUAGGGAAGAAUGCACAAUGGAGGAAACCCUGAGGAAGCACCGCCUAGGGGAGGAUGACUCUUUUCAGAGCGUAAACUCCUUUUGUUAGGGAAGCGGUACCUAACGAAUAAGCACCGGCUAACUCCGUGCCAGCAGCCGCGGUAAUAC